UACGUAGGGGGCAAGCGUUGUCCGGAUUUAUUGGGCGUAAAGAGCGUGUGAGCGGCCUGGUAGGUCAGCUGUGAAAACUCGAGGCUCAACCUCGAGACGUCGGUUGAAACCACCUGGCUAGAGUCCGGAAGAGGAGAGUGGAAUUCCCGGUGUAGCGGUGAAAUGCGCAGAUAUCGGGAAGAACACCCGUGGCGAAGGCGGCUCUCUGGGACGGUACUGACGCUGAGACGCGAAAGCGUGGGGAGCGAACAGG
rnacentral:rRNA from 1 species